rnacentral:tRNA from 1 species
UGCGGAAUUGUGUAACGGUUAGCACGGCAGACUCUGACUCUGUUUGUGAGGGUUCAAAUCCUUCUUCCGCAGCCA